rnacentral:rRNA from 1 species
GAUGAACGCUGGCGGCGUGCCUAAUACAUGCAAGUCGAGCGAACAGAUGAGGCGCUUGCUCCUCUGACGUUAGCGGAGGACGGGUGAGUAACACGUGGAUCACCUACCUAUCAGACUGGGAUAACUUCGGGAAAGCGGCGAUAAUCGGGGAUAAUAUAUUGAACCGCAUGGUUCGAUAGUGAGAGACGGUUUUGGUGUCACUUAUAGAUGGAUCCGCGCCGUAUUAGCUAGUUGGUAAGGUAACGGGUUACUAAGGAAACGAUGCGUAGCAGACCUGAGAGAGUGAUCGGCGACACUGGAACUGAGACACGGUCAAGACGCCUACGGGAGGCAGCAGUAUGGAAUCGGCCGCAAUGGUCGAAAGCCUGACGGAGCAACGGCGCGUGAGAUAUGAAGAUCUUCGGAUCGUAAAACUGGGUUAUUAGGGAAGAACAAAUUUGGAAGGAACUAUGCACGGCGUGACGGUACCUAAUCAGAAAGCCACGGCUAACUACGUG